rnacentral:rRNA from 1 species
GAGUUUGAUCAUGGCUCAGGAUGAACGCUGGCGGCGUGCUUAACACAUGCAAGUCGAACGGAACGUAACCGAGGAAAUUUUUCGAAGUGGAAUCGGUUACGUUUAGUGGCGGACGGGUGCGUAACACGUGGGCAACCUGCCCUGCUUUUCGGAAUAACGCCGGGAAACCGUCGCUAAUGCCGAAUGAUAUGAGAAGAAGGCAUCUUCUUUUCAUCAAAGAAUUUCGAAGCAGGAUGGGCCCGCGCCGGAUUAGCUGGUUGGUGAGGUAACGGCUCACCAAGGCGACGAUCCGUAGCCGACCUGAGAGGGUGAUCGGCCACACUGGAACUGAGACACGGUCCAGACUCCUACGGGAGGCAGCAGUGGGGAAUAUUGCACAAUGGGCGAAAGCCUGAUGCAGCAACGCCGCGUGAGCGAUGAAGGCUUUCGAGUCGUAAAA